rnacentral:rRNA from 1 species
UGGGGAAUAUUGCACAAUGGGCGCAAGCCUGAUGCAGCCAUGCCGCGUGUAUGAAGAAGGCCUUCGGGUUGUAAAGUACUUUCAGUCGGGAGGAAGGUGUCAAGGUUAAUAACCUUGGCAAUUGACGUUACCGACAGAAGAAGCACCGGCUAACUACGUGCCAGCAGCCGCGGUAAUACGUAGGUGGCAAGCGUUAAUCGGAAUUACUGGGCGUAAAGCGCACGCAGGCGGUCUGUCAAGUCGGAUGUGAAAUCCCCGGGCUCAACCUGGGAACUGGAUUCGAAACUGGCAGGCUAGAGUCGUGUAGAGGGGGGUAGAAUUCCAAGUGUAGCGGUGAAAUGCGUAGAGAUCUGGAGGAAUACCGGUGGCGAAGGCGGCCCCCUGGACAAAGACUGACGCUCAGGUGCGAAAGCGUGGGGAGCAAACAGG